rnacentral:rRNA from 1 species
GAACGCUGGCGGCGUGCCUAACACAUGCAAGUCGUGCGGGGACGCCGGGAUAGCUUGCUAUCCUGGUGGUCCUAGCGGCGGACGGGUGAGUAACGCGUGAACAACCUACCCAGAAGACCGGGAUAACACCGGGAAACCGGUGCUAAUACCGGAUACGCUCACUGGGCGGCAUCGCCUGGUGAGGGAAGCUGGCCUCUGGUUCAAGCUAGCGCUUUUGGAUGGGUUCGCGUCCCAUUAGCUUGUUGGUAGGGUAAGGGCCUACCAAGGCGACGAUGGGUAGCCGGCCUGAGAGGGUGGUCGGCCACACUGGGACUGAGACACGGCCCAGACUCCUACGGGAGGCAGCAGUGGGGAAUAUUCCGCAAUGGGCGCAAGCCUGACGGAGCGACGCCGCGUGGGGGAUGAAGGCCUUCGGGUUGUAAACCCCUUUUCUGGGGGAAGAACGCCCUGUCUUCGAACAGGGGGCAGGAGUGACGGUACCCCAGGAAUAAGCCCCGGCUAACUACGUGCCAGCAGCCGCGGUAAUACGUAGGGGGCGAGCGUUGUCCGGAAUCACUGGGCGUAAAGGGCGCGUAGGCGGUCCGAGAAGUCGCAGGUG